ACGUUAAUUGUAAUUUUUGUACAUGUUUUUGGGGGACCAAUUUUCAAAUCAUCACAUCUGGACAAAGUCAUCAUUUAGUAAGCCCUGUUAUAUAAGUCCAUUCAACCAUGGAGGAAGAAUUUUGGAACUAACUUGGCCUAACUUAGUGAUGCACUUAUAGAAUGAUUCUUGUAGCAAGAAAUCAUCUGAUUGGCCCAUGGAAGACCUUUGAGGGAGUGUCUUAUGGUUUGAGGUUGCAAGUUUCCAGCUGAAGAAGGACGCACCACGGAUGCUGGACAAAGCGUGGAAGGCGACCAGGAGAUGUUCCCGAGAUGGCGACGGCUGAAGACAACCUCUUGCUCAACUACUACUUACAUACAGGUGAUUGUGAUGACUACUUUUCUGCCAUCCUGUCACCAUGGACCAUGAAGAUGUGACAUCACAACACAAAGAGAGAUACGUCAUGGCUUGAAGAGAUAGACAUCAAGUAUUUCUACACCUACUUAUCAGGAUCCUUGAAGGAUGAACAGAGUGGAACAACUAAGAGUUGGUUACGUCAAGAUGCUGAGCCACAUUAUACAGCACCAA